UCGCAACGAGAUACGAAAAUAACGUUAUAAUAAUGACACUGACAUAAACGUGAACUGUAAACAAAGUUAAGUCGUUUUAUAAAAACGCUGUUCACACCAGAACCAUAAUGAUAAAGAGGAAGAUAUCGUUGGUUGGAAUCACUUUCAAAGCGAUUUUAUUUCCAGCUAAUGAACGAUAAACGUUGACAGUUAAUCAAAAUCCAUCUAUCUUUAAGAAUAAACGGCUCCUUUGGUAUGAAUGCUAGCAGUCAUUAUGGUUCUUGUUGUAAGCGGAGCCUAAUUUUACAUUUUUUACUCUAAAAACGUUUUAAAACAGUAUUUAUUGUUAAAAAAGUUUAUGUCUCUGUUAAGAGGGAUGUUUUUAAUUGUGUAUUUUUUUUUUUUUUUUUAAUCAUCUCUCUUUUAUUGAAGGGUAUCUGUCUUUAACCGCUUGGGGGCGACAAAACAUUAAGUUUCAAGAAGUCAUGGCUCGAGUUUUCUUUUUGUCUGCUUGACCACAACAUAAAAUAAAGCAGAUACGUAAUAUAGACAAGUUAACAAUGAUAAAAUAUCAGUGGUGAAUAAUGAUAAAACAAGAAAAAUAAACACAUUUGGAAUGCUUUGGAAUUAUAGUUUUAAGAAUAGGUCUAUUCAAAAACCUCUCACUUCAUGUAUGUAAAACAUACUUAAAGUAAUAUUUCUUGAUACCUAAGAACACAUCACUCUCAAAUGAUGAUUUUCACAUUUGGGUGGUCACUUCUUUCUCAAACUUGAUUUGUGUGCACUGUUAUAUCAAACAUUCCUCUAUAAACUAUGUUAAUGACAGGCUUUGUGCUGGAGAAAUUGCAGGUAUUGUCCAUUUUGUUUAAUGUCAAAGGUCAUUCAUGGGUUGGUUUGAGAGUUUCACCUAAGAAUGAAGUAAAACAGAAGACUUAAAAUAUAAAACUACAAUUUGAAUAAAUUCUAGAACUCUCCGAUCAAGAAUAACAUUCCAGCAUUCAUAAUAAACCAAUUAUCAGGUCUAAAGCUACUGUGAUGAUUUACAAUUUUAAGUGGGAAUCUCGUUCAUGCACCUUCUUGACCCGCGGUUACACCAGUGACACACCUGGUUCCUCGAGGCCUAAAACUGACAUUUGAGGUGAGCAAUUCCUGGAAUGUUGCAUCUGAGGGUCACGGUGAGCGAGAUUUGACCUUACAUGCUCAUUCUGAUGGGAGGUUCUCUGCACUGAAAUUACUCAAUAAUUCUGCCUUUGUGUUCCACAGAAGAAAGUCAUACGGGUUUGGAUCCACAUGAGGGGAGAAGACAGAACGAAACGAAGCGGUGAAGUAAUUUAUAGGGUGGAUGACAGAGUUUUAUUGGAUCCAUGAAGUCUAAUGUGACCGCAGGGCUGAAAUACUCGAACACAGCAUGAGACGCGCUCAUAACACGGAAAAUAUCACCAGGUCCAGAUGACCAACGCCAGGGUUCAACUAUCCUCGAUCAACCUCUAUCAGUCUCUUUCAUGGCCUUCUCUGUUUUAUUAGUUCUUAUUUGUCUGUCAUCAUCAUUUUUAUUUAAUUUAAUUUUGCAUUAUUUUCUCACAUUUCCAAUUUAGCACAUUUCCAAACUCUUAUUACAGUAAUCGGAUGAAAACAAGUAAAAAAAAAAUACUAUAUAUGUGUGUAUAUAUAUAUAUAUAUAUAGAUAGUGCU